AACACUUCAUGCCUUUAGAAUUUAAGAAUUGAUAUAUUUUAGAAAUUACAUUUACGAUCACUCGAACACCUCAAUAAAUUUAACAUUUGAUAAUUUAAUUAAAUAUGUCAUUAUUUAUAAAAUAUAAAUGAUAAUAUCAAACUACACAAAUAAAGUAUUCGUAACCAAUACCCUCCUAGUUUUCUAUACUCUCUUGCUCGCUCUCAUAUCCUUUCAUAUAGCCUAGUUUGCUGAUUUAACAUCGGACCUCAAAGUAUUAUCUCCGGCGUUCCCAACCUUUUCUCUCCGUGACAAGUCAUUUUUAUCAUCUUUCUCAAUAUCUUGCAAAUUCAUUUUUCAAAUAGAGAGAAGUUACGUGAACAAAAAUUAUGAAAUGAAACGACAUUUUGAAAGUUAUGAGUUAGAAUUUUUAGACUAAAG
rnacentral:lncRNA from 1 species